ACCCCACUAUGCCAAGUUGUAAACCUUAACUUACACCCUCAUCGCCUGGGAACUACGAGCCAAGCUUAAAACCCAAAGGACUUGACGGUGCCCCACACUUCCUAGAGGAGCCUGUCCUGUAAUUGAUAACCCCCGCUAAACCUCACCAUUCUUUGCUUUUCAGCUUGUAUACUUCCGUCGUCAGCUAACCACAUGAGUGAAAUUUAACAAGCCUAAUGUCAUUCACCAAAACGUCAGGUCAAAGUGCAGCUAAUAGAAUGGGAACAGAUGGGCUACACUUUCUAGUAUAGAAAAUACGAAAGACUAGUAUGAAACCCAAGUCAGAAGGUGGAUUUAGAAGUAAAGAGAAAUUAGAGUGUUCUUUUUAAUCUGCUAUUGGAGCAUGUACACACCG
rnacentral:rRNA from 1 species